UACGGGGGGGGCAAGCGUUGUUCGGAAUUACUGGGCGUAAAGGGCUCGUAGGUGGCCAACUAAGUCAGACGUGAAAUCCCUCGGCUUAACCGGGGAACUGCGUCUGAUACUGGAUGGCUGGAGUAUGGGAGAGGAAUGCGGAAUUCCAGGUGUAGCGGUGAAAUGCGUAGAGAUCGGAAGGAACACCAGUGGCGAAGGCGGCUACCUGGCCUAAUACUGACGCUCAUGCACGAAAGCGUGGGGAGCAAACAGG
rnacentral:rRNA from 1 species